rnacentral:rRNA from 1 species
UACGUAGGGUGCGAGCGUUAAUCGGAAUUACUGGGCGUAAAGCGUGCGCAGUCGGUUUUGUAAGCCCUAUGUGAAAGCCCCGGGCUCAACCUGGGAAUGGCAUUUGGGACUGCAAGGCUUGAGUGCGGCAGAGGAGACUGGAAUUCCUGGUGUAGCAGUGAAAUGCGUAGAUAUCAGGAGGAAUACCGAUGGCGAAGGCAGGUCUCUGGGCUGACACUGACGCUCAUGCACGAAAGCGUGGGGAGCAAACAGG